AUCCAUGGGAGACAAUGUGACGCCUCGUAGCACAUGUACUUCAAUCAGGAAUGUUGUUUGCUGCAUCGCGAGAGUACUCGUGUGGCGCCCCCAAAUCCUCAAUGCCUGGGUUCACUUCUGAUGUUGCUGCCAUCCUCCCUGCCAAUGGCGUCGUGCUGCUCGGCCUCCCACAACAUUUAGCAGUUUGAUGUCUGCCCAAGGUGGAUGGUGGUACAGCCCAAGGCGUCGGUGCUCUGCUCGGAUGGACAAUGCCAGGGGUCGACAAGAACGCCUAUGGCUAGUUACUAGGGAGAGAUCGGUCGUGAUCAUGGGGAAUGAUGUGACGCAUUGUAUCACCUCUACUUUACAAGAAGGUUGUUUGCUGAAGCGCGAGAGUAGUGGUGUGGUGCCCUUAAUGCCAGGUUCCACUGCUAAUGUCACAUUGAGAGGACGCUACCAUCCUCCCCGCUGGUAGUGUCCUGCUGCUUAGCCGUGGAUGACCUUUACCAGUUUGAUCUCUACCCAAUGUGGAUGGUGGUACAACCCAAGGCGGCGGUGGGUUUAUGUUCGAUGAUGACUUGCUCCGCUCUGAUGGACAAUGCUAGGGGACGACCAGAAGGCUGGUUGCUAGGGUUCAUGGCUGUGUGUGGUGGCGGCACAGCUAGCCCAAGGCGGCCGUGGCAAUGGUGACAAGGAUGGGUCAGGAGGGUGCCCACUUGGAUGACUUGCUCCACCCAGAUACCGCCAGGGACGGAUGAUAAGGACAACGACCUUCUGGAUUGAAGGAAGCAACGGACAGGGAUCAUGUGAAGCUCAUCUUGUGCUCGUAAAAUUGAAGCAGCACAGUUAGCACCAAACUGGAACUUUCAGUCAAGCUAGGCAACAACCCCAGUUAUGCUCGUUGGAUCCUGAAGUUCCGCACUUAAGGAAGUUGAUGAAGCUCGGCUUCCGAGCCGGUGGCAACAUCCCGAGCAAGGAGAGGGCUGACUGGAGGCAUGGAAGUCACUGAAACAGCUGUGGAGUUUAGAGAAAAGAACCAUGGUGCACAAACUUUAUAAGAUAUUGGACGUUCUCCCUCAGGCAGUGUAUAAAG